rnacentral:tRNA from 1 species
GCGCCUGUAGCUCAGUGGAUAGAGCGCUUGCCUCCGGAGCAAGAGGCCGCGCGUUCGAAUCGCGCCAGGCGUACCA